rnacentral:rRNA from 1 species
GACGAACGCUGGCGGCGUGCUUAACACAUGCAAGUCGAACGGAAAGGCCCUGCUUUUGUGGGGUGCUCGAGUGGCGAACGGGUGAGUAACACGUGAGUAACCUGCCCUUGACUUUGGGAUAACUUCAGGAAACUGGGGCUAAUACCGGAUAGGAGCUCCUGCUGCAUGGUGGGGGUUGGAAAGUUUCGGCGGUUGGGGAUGGACUCGCGGCUUAUCAGCUUGUUGGUGGGGUAGUGGCUUACCAAGGCUUUGACGGGUAGCCGGCCUGAGAGGGUGAACGGCCACAUUGGGACUGAGAUAAGGCCCAGACUCCUACGGGAGGCAGCAGUGGGGAAUAUUGCACAAUGGGCGGAAGGCUGAUGCAGCAACGCCGCGUGCGGGAUGACGGCCUUCGGGUUGUAAACCGCUUUCGACUGUGACGAAGCGUGAGUGACGGUAAUGGGUAAAGAAGCACCGGCUAACUACGUG